GACGAACGCUGGCGGCGUGCUUAACACAUGCAAGUCGAACGGUGAAGCGCCUUCCUUUUUGGUGGGUGUGGAUGAGUGGCGAACGGGUGAGUAACACGUGAGUAACCUGCCCCCUUCUUCUGGAUAACCGCAUGAAAGUGUGGCUAAUACGGGAUAUUCUGGGUCUGUCGCAUGAUGGGUCUGGGAAAGAUAUUGUUUCGGUGGGGGAUGGGCUCGCGGCCUAUCAGCUUGUUGGUGGGGUGAUGGCCUACCAAGGCGGUGACGGGUAGCCGGCCUGAGAGGGUGGACGGUCACACUGGGACGGAGACACGGCCCAGACUCCUACGGGAGGCAGCAGGGGGGAAUAUUGCACAAUGGGCGCAAGCCUGAUGCAGCGACGCCGCGGGAGGGAUGGAGGCCGUCGGGUUGUGAACCUCUUUCGCCAGUGAAGCAGGCCUGCCUCGUUUGUGGGUGGGUUGACGGUAGCUGGAGAAGAAGCGCCGGCUAACUACGUG
rnacentral:rRNA from 1 species